rnacentral:rRNA from 3 species
AUGCAAGUCGAACGGUAACAGGAAGCAGCUUGCUGCUUUGCUGACGAGUGGCGGACGGGUGAGUAAUGUCUGGGAAACUGCCUGAUGGAGGGGGAUAACUACUGGAAACGGUGGCUAAUACCGCAUAACGUCGCAAGACCAAAGAGGGGGACCUUCGGGCCUCUUGCCAUCAGAUGUGCCCAGAUGGGAUUAGCUUGUUGGUGAGGUAACGGCUCACCAAGGCGACGAUCCCUAGCUGGUCUGAGAGGAUGACCAGCCACACUGGAACUGAGACACGGUCCAGACUCCUACGGGAGGCAGCAGUGGGGAAUAUUGCACAAUGGGCGCAAGCCUGAUGCAGCCAUGCCGCGUGUAUGAAGAAGGCCUUCGGGUUGUAAAGUACUUUCAGCGGGGAGGAAGGUGUUGUGGUUAAUAACCGCAGCAAUUGACGUUACCCGCAGAAGAAGCACCGGCUAACUCCGUGCCAGCAGCCGCGGUAAUACGGAGGGUGCAAGCGUUAAUCGGAAUUACUGGGCGUAAAGCGCACGCAGGCGGUCUGUCAAGUCGGAUGUGAAAUCCCCGGGCUCAACCUGGGAACUGCAUUCGAAACUGGCAGGCUUGAGUCUUGUAGAGGGGGGUAGAAUUCCAGGUGUAGCGGUGAAAUGCGUAGAGAUCUGGAGGAAUACCGGUGGCGAAGGCGGCCCCCUGGACAAAGACUGACGCUCAGGUGCGAAAGCGUGGGGAGCAAACAGGAUUAGAUACCCUGGUAGUCCACGCCGUAAACGAUGUCUACUUGGAGGUUGUGCCCUUGAGGCGUGGCUUCCGGAGCUAACGCGUUAAGUAGACCGCCUGGGGAGUACGGCCGCAAGGUUAAAACUCAAAUGAAUUGACGGGGGCCCGCACAAGCGGUGGAGCAUGUGGUUUAAUUCGAUGCAACGCGAAGAACCUUACCUGGUCUUGACAUCCACAGAAGAAUCCAGAGAUGGAUUUGUGCCUUCGGGAACUGUGAGACAGGUGCUGCAUGGCUGUCGUCAGCUCGUGUUGUGAAAUGUUGGGUUAAGUCCCGCAACGAGCGCAACCCUUAUCCUUUGUUGCCAGCGGUUAGGCCGGGAACUCAAAGGAGACUGCCAGUGAUAAACUGGAGGAAGGUGGGGAUGACGUCAAGUCAUCAUGGCCCUUACGACCAGGGCUACACACGUGCUACAAUGGCGCAUACAAAGAGAAGCGACCUCGCGAGAGCAAGCGGACCUCAUAAAGUGCGUCGUAGUCCGGAUUGGAGUCUGCAACUCGACUCCAUGAAGUCGGAAUCGCUAGUAAUCGUGGAUCAGAAUGCCACGGUGAAUACGUUCCCGGGCCUUGUACACACCGCCCGUCACACCAUGGGAGUGGGUUGCAAAAGAAGUAGGUAGCUUAACCUUCGGGAGGGCGCUUACCACUUUGUGAUUCAUGACUGGGGUGAAGUCGUAACAAGGUAACCGUAGGGGAACCUGCGGUUGGA